UUGAACGCUGGCGGCAUGCUUUACACAUGCAAGUCGAACGGUAACAGGCCGCAAGGUGCUGACGAGUGGCGAACGGGUGAGUAAUGCAUCGGAACGUGCCCAGUCGUGGGGGAUAACUACUCGAAAGAGUAGCUAAUACCGCAUACGAUCUAUGGAUGAAAGCGGGGGACCGUAAGGCCUCGCGCGAUUGGAGCGGCCGAUGUCAGAUUAGGUAGUUGGUGGGGUAAAGGCUCACCAAGCCAACGAUCUGUAGCUGGUCUGAGAGGACAACCAGCCACACUGGGACUGAGACACGGCCCAGACUCCUACGGGAGGCAGCAGUGGGGAAUUUUGGACAAUGGGCGCAAGCCCGAUCCAGCAAUGCCGCGUGCAGGAAGAAGGCCUUCGGGUUGUAAACUGCUUUUGUACGGAACGAAACGGCUCUGGUUAAUACCCGGGGCUAAUGACGGUACCGUAAGAAUAAGCACCGGCUAACUACGUG
rnacentral:rRNA from 1 species